UACGUAGGUGGCAAGCGUUAUCCGGAAUUAUUGGGCGUAAAGCGCGCGCAGGCGGUUUCUUAAGUCUGAUGUGAAAGCCCUGGGCUCAACCUAGGAAGUGCACUCGAAACUGCUUCGCUUGAGUGUCGGAGAGGAAAGCGGAAUUCUCGGUGUAGAGGUGAAAUUCGUAGAUAUCGAGAGGAACACCGGUGGCGAAGGCGGCUUUCUGGACGAUAACUGACGCUGAGACGCGAAAGCGUGGGGAGCAAACAGG
rnacentral:rRNA from 1 species